rnacentral:rRNA from 1 species
UACGUAGGUGGCAAGCGUUGUCUGGAAUUACUGGGUGUAAAGCGUGCGCAGGCGGUUCGUUGUGUCGGCGGUGAAAGCCCCGGGCUUAACCUGGGAAUGGCCGUUGAAACUGGCGAACUGGAGUGUGGCAGAGGGGGGUGGAAUUCCGCGUGUAGCAGUGAAAUGCGUAGAGAUGCGGAGGAACACCGAUGGCGAAGGCAGCCCCCUGGGCUGACACUGACGCUCAGGCACGAAAGCGUGGGGAGCAAACAGG